CAGCACCUCAAGUGGUCAGGAUGAUUAUUGGGCCUAAAGCAUCCGUAGCCGGCUCUGUAAGUUUUCGGUUAAAUCUGUAUGCUCAACAUACAGGCUGCCGGGAAUACUGCAGAGCUAGGGAGUGGGAGAGGUAGACGGUACUCGGUAGGAAGGGGUAAAAUCCUUUGAUCUAUUGAUGACCACCUGUGGCGAAGGCGGUCUACCAGAACACGUCCGACGGUGAGUGAUGAAAGCUGGGGGAGCAAACCGGAUUAGAUACCCGAGUAGUCC
rnacentral:rRNA from 1 species